rnacentral:rRNA from 1 species
UACGUAGGGGGCAAGCGUUGUCCGGAAUUAUUGGGCGUAAAGAGCGUGUAGGCGGCCAGAUAAGUCCGCUGUGAAAUCUCGAGGCUCAACUUCGAGCUGUCGGUGGAAACUAUCUGGCUAGAGUCCGGAAGAGGAGAAUGGAAUUCCUGGUGUAGCGGUGAAAUGCGCAGAUAUCAGGAGGAACACCGGUGGCGAAGGCGGGUCUCUGGGCCGAAAUUGACGCUGAGGAGCGAAAGCGUGGGGAGCAAACAGG